rnacentral:misc_RNA from 1 species
CACCACACGUCGGGGGAAGGCGUAAAAAGAGCUGGUCUCACUGGGACAAGCUCCUCUCGUCGGCCCUGUCUGCAUCUACCCAUGCCUUUUGCGUACCCACUGUUUCCUCGGCAGGCUCGCCUGCCAGCAGGACCCUCUUCAAACCUUUUGUAAUUGCAGUCUGCGUCAGAAAAAAAAACAAUCGUUUA